UGGGGAAUAUUGCACAAUGGGCGAAAGCCUGAUGCAGCAACGCCGCGUGAGUGAUGAAGGCCUUCGGGUUGUAAAGCUCUGUCUUUUGGGACGAUAAUGACGGUACCAAAGGAGGAAGCCACGGCUAACUACGUGCCAGCAGCCGCGGUAAUACGUAGGUGGCAAGCGUUGUCCGGAUUUACUGGGCGUAAAGGAUGCGUAGGCGGAUUUUUAAGUGAGAUGUGAAAACCCUAAGCUUAACUUGGGGACUGCAUUUCAUACUGGAAAUCUAGAGUGCGGGAGAGGAGAAUGGAAUUCCUAGUGUAGCGGUGAAAUGCGUAGAGAUUAGGAAGAACACCAGUGGCGAAGGCGAUUCUCUGGACCGUAACUGACGCUGAGGCAUGAAAGCGUGGGUAGCAAACAGGAUUAGAUACCCUGGUAGUCCACGCCGUAAACGAUGAGUACUAGGUGUAGGAGGUAUCGACCCCUUCUGUGCCGCAGUUAACACAAUAAGUACUCCGCCUGGGAAGUACGAUCGCAAGAUUAAAAACUUAAAGGAAUUGAC
rnacentral:rRNA from 1 species